AUUGAACGCUGGCGGCAUGCCUUACACAUGCAAGUCGAACGGCAGCACGGGUGCUUGCACCUGGUGGCGAGUGGCGAACGGGUGAGUAAUACAUCGGAACAUGUCCUGUAGUGGGGGAUAGCCCGGCGAAAACCGGAUUAAUACCGCAUACGAUCUACGGAUGAAAGCGGGGGACCUUCGAGCCUCGCGCUAUAGGGUUGGCCGAUGGCUGAUUAGCUAGUUGGUGGGGUAAAGGCCUACCAAGGCGACGAUCAGUAGCUGGUCUGAGAGGACGACCAGCCACACUGGGACUGAGACACGGCCCAGACUCCUACGGGAGGCAGCAGUGGGGAAUUUUGGACAAUGGGCGAAAGCCUGAUCCAGCAAUGCCGCGUGUGUGAAGAAGGCCUUCGGGUUGUAAAGCACUUUUGUCCGGAAAGAAAUCCUUGGCCCUAAUACGGUCGGGGGAUGACGGUACCGGAAGAAUAAGCACCGGCUAACUACGUG
rnacentral:rRNA from 1 species